GAGUCACUUUCUUCAUAAGAAUUCGGGGCUUUUGCAUUAGGUAGAUGGUAGAAUUUUUAGUUAAAUUAAAGAAUAGAUCAGUUUUUGGGUUUCUGUCAAUCAUGUUUACGGUACUGAAGCUGUGUUUAAGUCACAUAUUGAGGGAUUGACUUAUAACUGUGAUGGAAUAUAUUUAGAUACUUGUUUGAUAAGAAUUUGGGGUUUUUGUAUUACGGUAUUGUGCCUGCAUUUUCUUCAUUUAGUACAAUGUUCCCUUAGUAAAGUCAUAGGUUAUUGUUUUAAAUCAGAGUAAUGAAUAAACUCUAAGGAAAUGGUUGUUUGUUCAUGAAAAACGCUUGAAAUUAUGAGAAAUUGGGAAAUCUGGGAAGUUUUUUCAUAAACCUUGGAAGGAGGAGCAUACGGUCCCUGAUAUUCCACUUUGUAGUUGUACAAUCAUUUCUACAUUCAACUGCAUGAAGUUGUCUUGAAUGAGGAACAAAACUAAACUGACAUUAACUUCUUCUGAUUUUUUUUUUUUUUUGCUAUUUCUUUUUUUCCUUUUUGGCUUUCUUUAUCAUGUUCAACUACUCAUAGUCCAACGUUAUUGCUGUCUUUCUUUAGAGUGCAACUUUAUUAUUAGAAUUUUUUAUUGAUAGACAUGUUUUUUGAAAUCCUGUUGAUAGACAUUUAUGGAAGCUGAUGUAGACCAAGAUGGCAGCAUAGAUAAAUCUGAAUGGCAAAAUUUUGUCUCUAAAAACCCGUCAUUGUUAAAGAUCAUGACCCUCCCAUACUUGAGGGAUAUUACAACUACUUUUCCAAGUUUUGUUUUUAAUUCAGAAGUUGACGACAUUGCUACAUAACUGAAACAGGAUCAGCUUAGAAAUUUAGUGUGUUAUCUUCCCCUUUUUGAUUUUUGAAAAUUAACUGCAGCAGAAGGGAACUGUGGUUUGAUGUAUGACUGAGUACAAGCUUUAUUGAAAUACUCAGCUGAAUGUUAAGCUUUCUGAUGGAAGCAAUAUAUAAUUUGUGUAGUUAAUUCCCAAA